rnacentral:misc_RNA from 1 species
GUAUUGAUUAUUUUUAUGGCUCAAAGAGCCAACAAAGCAUUCAUAGGUAAAUAUAUACAGUUGUGUGUGAAACAAAAUGCAGGCCCAGGUUUCCCCAAGCCCACAGGAGGUUGCACAGGUGUAUAGGAGGAAUUAAGGGAGGAGUGUGCACAGAUGCCCCCAAAAGGGCCAGCAGCAAAGCCUCCCCCCCAAAAUUUCAUUUAAUGAUCCUUCCGCAGGUUCACCUACGGAAA